AACGUAGGAGACAAACGUUAUCCGGAGUUACUGGGCGUAAAGGGCGUGUAGGCGGUUAGUUAAGUCUGGCGUGAAAGCUCUCGGCUAAACCGGGAGAGGUCGUCGGAUACUGGCAAACUAGAGGAUGGUAGAGGCGUGUGGAAUUCCGGGUGUAGUGGUGAAAUGCGUAGAGAUCCGGAGGAACACCAGUGGCGAAGGCGGCUCACUGGACUGGUACUGACGCUGAGGCGCGAAAGCGUGGGGAGCAAACAGG
rnacentral:rRNA from 1 species